rnacentral:rRNA from 1 species
UACGAAGGGGGCUAGCGUUGUUCGGAAUUACUGGGCGUAAAGCGCGCGCAGGCGGUUCUUCAAGUCAGAGGUGAAAGCCCAGAGCUCAACUCUGGAAUGGCCUUUGAGACUAGAGAACUAGGGUACGGGAGAGGUGAGUGGAAUUCCGAGUGUAGAGGUGAAAUUCGUAGAUAUUCGGAGGAACACCAGUGGCGAAGGCGGCUCACUGGUCCAUUACUGACGCUGAGGUGCGAAAGCGUGGGGAGCAAACGGG